GUAGUGUAGAUGCUUUUGGCGAUCCUCUACCAGAAUGUCAGAAUAUUGCUACAACUAUUGAAGGAUAUUUUG
rnacentral:tRNA from 1 species